UCCCUGGUAGCUCAGAUGGUAAAGAAUCUGCCUGCAAUGCAGGAGACCCAGGUUCAAUCCCUGGGUUGAGAA
rnacentral:tRNA from 1 species